rnacentral:rRNA from 1 species
CAAGAACAUAGCUAAUAGAAAAAAUUAUUAAUAGUGCUGCCUGCUCAAUGAUUGAACAAUAACAAUUAACAACAAUUCAAUAGCCGCGGUAAUAUCUGACCGUGCUAAGGUAGCAUAAUAAAUAGCCUAUUAAUUGUAGGAUAGAAUGAAGGUAAAACGAAAUUCUAACUGUCUCAAAAACCCAAAUACAAAAUAGAAUAUGUGUGCAAAUCCACACCAAGACGGCAAGACGAUAAGACCCUAGGAACUUUACCAAAAGUUUAUAUUCCUAAUAUAAACACAAAGUUUAGUUGGGGCAACAAUCUUAAAAAAAGUAACUAAGAUUCUAUAAUCCAAACCAAAAAGAUACAUAAACCAAAAUACAAAAGAUAAGACCCAUUAAAAAAAAUUAAUGACAAAAAAUAAAAGCUCCYUAGGGAUAACAGGCGUUAUAUCGUC